GUUGGUACAGCUCAGUGGUACAGCGCAUGCUUACCAUGCACGAGGUCCUGGGUUCAAUCCCCAGUACUGCCA
rnacentral:tRNA from 1 species